AUUGAACGCUGGCGGCAUGCUUUACACAUGCAAGUCGAACGGUAACAGGCCGCAAGGUGCUGACGAGUGGCGAACGGGUGAGUAAUGCAUCGGAACGUGCCCAGUCGUGGGGGAUAACUACUCGAAAGAGUAGCUAAUACCGCAUACGAUCUAUGGAUGAAAGCGGGGGACCGUAAGGCCUCGCGCGAUUGGAGCGGCCGAUGUCAGAUUAGGUAGUUGGUGGGGUAAAGGCUCACCAAGCCAACGAUCUGUAGCUGGUCUGAGAGGACGACCAGCCACACUGGGACUGAGACACGGCCCAGACUCCUACGGGAGGCAGCAGUGGGGAAUUUUGGACAAUGGGCGCAAGCCUGAUCCAGCAAUGCCGCGUGCAGGAAGAAGGCCUUCGGGUUGUAAACUGCUUUUGUACGGAACGAAACGGCGCUGGUUAAUACCCGGGGCUAAUGACGGUACCGAAAGAAUAAGCACCGGCUAACUACGUG
rnacentral:rRNA from 1 species